UUUACAAUAGAAGACAUGGGAAAGAAGAAAAAGAAGAAGAAGGAACCAUUGAACAGAAAAGGCAGCUGCUCCUCAGCCAGAUGGAUUUUAAGACUGACCUAUAUCGUCCCUGGAAUUUCAAUGUUGAAAGAAAGAAAGACACCAGUGAUGCUGACCUCUUUUGCUCCUCGGACCCGCCUGAUCCAUCCUGAUGCCCUACUUCUGGCUGGAGUCUCAUCACAUUGCUCCUGUGGAGGACGACCCCAUAUGGACAGUCGAAGGAUGCACUUAGAAGACAUCUCUGGACACUUACAGUUUUGCUGUGGUGGUUUAGGACUACAACUGCCAUGAUAACUUUAGGACUGCAGUUCUCGAACAGUCUUGCACUCAAGUCUCCAUCAAUGAACAGUUUAUAACUUCAACAAAAUAGACUUCAUGCUAAAACUAUAAUGAAUUUCCUGGUUACACAGGUGUACUUUGUGACUCUAUAGGACACGGUUAUAGAAGCAAGUUAUUUAUAAUAAUGCUAUCGGUUAUCACGAUGGGUUCCCUUUUGAGUCUGGUUCUUCUCGAGGUUUCUUCCUCGUGUCGUCUGAGGGAGUUUUUCCUUGCCACCGUUGCCACAGGCUUGCUCAUCAGGGAUAAAUUGGGAAUAAAAUUAGCUCAUGUUUAAAGUUUUUAAUUUUCUGUGUGGCUGCUUUGUGACAAUGUCUGCUGUUAAAAGCGCUAUACAAAUAAACUUGACUUGACUUGACUAAA